GACGUAGGGCGCGAGCGUUGUCCGGAUUUAUUGGGCGUAAAGAGCUCGUAGGCGGCUUGUCGCGUCGACUGUGAAAUCCCGCGGCUCAACUGCGGGUCUGCAGUCGAUACGGGCAGGCUAGAGUUCGGUAGGGGAGACUGGAAUUCCUGGUGUAGCGGUGAAAUGCGCAGAUAUCAGGAGGAACACCGGUGGCGAAGGCGGGUCCUCUGG
rnacentral:rRNA from 1 species